GAAGGCCCAUCUUAGAGUUCACACAAGGGAGAAGCCGCAUUCAUGUUCUGAGUGUGGACAGAGUUUUACGCUGAUGUACGAUUUAACCGAACAUCAGAAAUCACACACUGCUGAGGUUUCAUUAGAGCAGGACAUCGAAGCAGAUGAUCACUGCUGACAUCAAAUUCGUUGAGUGUGAUCUGAUGGUGGAGAAUUGAGAAUGGAACCAACAUAGGGAAAACUGGAAAACAAACUGAACUUAUUUUUACAGAAAAAGAGCCUGGAGAUAUUUCACCUGCAGUCACUGUGGAAAGAGUUUGGCGAUCUUUAAGACUCACGUGGAGAUCAGCACACAAAUAACACCAUUGUGUUUCAUAACUCAACUUCUGUACUGGACUAUUGGAGUACUCUAUUGGUCUUUCAAUCCAACACCAUGAUGCCCCUGCAGCUGAUCCUGAAUCAGCAGUGAGAGCGGUUGAAAUGAACUGAAAAGAGUGCAUGUCUUACGCCUCAAUUUACGCUGGCUGCCAAUCGCCGAAUUCAAAACCCUUUAAACUUCCAAGGAGAGUUACAAAGGCUUAUUACAAGUCUUUUGAAAAUAUCUAUGCAUAUAUUCUAAUCUAUGUCAGUGAUGUUACGAUAUAUAUAUAUAUAUAGGGUUCCUCAAUUGAUAAAAGGUUGUUGUUUAGUAGUCCAACUAUUGAUACUAGCUAGCAUAUUUUAUCUUAUUUGUAGUGUGGCAGAAUGAAACUGCAGGUCGUCAACGCUUCACCUUCACUUUGUGUCCGUCAGCACCGCUUAAGUGGCAUUGCUCACUGUAGAAAUUGGGAGUUCAUCAACUUCAAGUGCCACUGAAAGCGUCAGCAAUCAGAUUGCUUUAUGCAACUACCCCAGCUCAGGCAGUAGCCGAUUGCGGACUAAUUUCAUUGGCGAUCACGUCAGCCCCAACCUCAGACACAUCCUCUGUCAAGCGCUGAUGCUUAAGCCCCAUGUGAAUCAGGCAUUAGAGCAGGUAUGAUAUGUAGUAGUGGAUUAUUAUUGUAUUUAUUUUUUGCUGCCUUGUUGAAGAUGCACCGAUCGACCAGUCGAUGACCAGAAUCGGACCUUUUUUACUUUAUUAUUAUUAUUAUUAUUAUUAUUAUUAGCCUUUGCAUGACUGUUAACCGGCCGGUCAUCUGUUUGAUUAGCUUUUUACAAUCAAUCACUCGGGUUAAUUGAAGCUGUUCCAGGUUACGAAUGAUCAUUUUGACGAGUUACUCGUUAAUCAACGGCAAACGUUUUGACCGAUUCAGAUUGAAAAUUCAAAUGCAGUUUUGGUUUUUCCGUUCAAUCUGUGUUUAAUACAUUAGCUACACGAGUAACUAUUCUGCUAGACACUCAAAACUGCUUUCAGAGAAAGGAAAGUGCUUUACCAGAGCAAGAUACAAGAUCAAAGAUAUCAGAAAUUAUUCAUCGUCGAAAAAUAAUACAAAACAAAGCAUUCGAAUAUUAAUCAAAACAUUUCAUUAGCGUUUGCUUGUAAUCUUUGGACUUUUGUGAAAUAAGAAAGUGACUGUACAAUUACAGAUUUUGUUAUUAUAGCAGUUUGGGGAAAUCUAAUGUUUGUAUGGAUUUCGUAUGAAGCAGAAACUGUUGAAUGUGGCGUAAUAAUAACUCCGAUGUUAAGUAUUGAAAACACAAGCUCAUCCAGCUAACCAACAUGAACCUGUUAGAUCUGUUUGAAGACCACUCUUAUGACUCCACGUUAAGCUGUGGUAUCGUUAAACCAUGCCUUUGUUUGUUUGUUUUGAAAGUGCGCCCUCUAUCUUUUGCUCUUGCUAUUUCUUUUAUUUUUAUUGACUAUAAUUUAGUCAAAGUAUGUUGUAAUAUUGCAAAAUAUUACUCGAACAUUACUAAAAGUUGAUAAGCAAUAAUGCCUUACUACAGCAUUACAGCAAGCAGUCAUUUGUUACCGACGUACAUGUUUAGUUUUGCUUUUGGAGCGCAUUACAUUACAACUCUGUUCGUCAACACUUGAUCCCUCCAACCCUCCUUAUUCAUCUCUUUAUUUUCAUCUUUGCUUCAAAAUAUUGUCAAACGAGCAGGUAUAAUUUGUGGUAGUAGCUCACGCAGUCUGCUCUGUGAAAUAAGGAAGUGACUGUAAAAUUACAGAUUUUGUUAGUAGAGUAGUUUGGGGAAAUCGAAUGUUAUAUGGAUUUCGUAUGAAGCAGAAACUGUCUAACGUGGCGUAAUAAUAACUCAGAUGCUAUUAAAUAUUGAAAACACAAGCUCCUCCAGCCAACCAACAUAAACCUGUUAGCUCUGUUUGAUUUCACAUUAAGCUGUGGUAUCGUUAAACCAUGCCUUUGUUUGUUUUGAAAGUGCGCCCUCUAUCUUUUGCUAUUUCGUUUUUUCAUUUGAUUACUUUUUCGAAAGUGUGUUGUUAUGCGUUACUGAGACUGUGCCAAGUCGAAUAUUGCUAAAAGUUGAGCAGUAAUGCCUUACUACAGAAUUACAGCAGUCAAUUGUUGCCAACGUGCAUGUUUAGUUUCACUUUUGGAGCGCAUUACAACUACAUUCGUCAACAUUUUUCUUCCCUCCAACCCUCCUUAUUUAUCCAUCCUUAUUUUCAUCUUUGCAUUUGCUUGUUUAAAAAGAGGUGCACAGUACUAAACAAACCCAGAUCUGUCUCUGCAUCCACAUACUGUUGCUGUUCUGCUGUUUUGAAGUGCUGUUAUCCUCUUUGUGAGAUGCUUUUGGACGACAGCAUGUGCUGGAUGAAUAAAAUGUAAGCUAUAUUUGCUUUUACUGUUUAAUCUGAUAGACUUGUUUGCUUAUUAUACUCCCAUGGUAGAACUUUCAAGUAUCUUAUUGUAUUCUCAAUUAUCAUAUUGUAUUAUUUUUCUGUCUUUUAUCAGUAAAGUUUUCUGAG
ensembl:processed_transcript